ACGGUUCUCAAUGCAUUGGGAGGAAAGGGAUUAUAUCAACGUGUUCAUCAUCUCCUUAUCGCUUUUACUGCAUUUUCUGCUGCUUUUCAACUACUGGAUAUGAUCUUCAUUGGACGGAUUAUUCCCCACGAGUGCUCUGCGCCACCUAAUGGUACUGGUAUAACCAUAGCUGGAGUAGAAUUAUCACCCAGUAAUUAUACAGUGGAAUACGGACAAUGUAAUAUAAAUAUUAAAUACAAUACCACUACUUCCACCAAUACAGAACACACACUACCAUGUAUAUAUGGUAUGACCUACACAGAGAGAAAAGAUGCAUCGAUCGUUUCAGAGUUUGAUCUUGUUUGUGAACGUGGUGCGCUCGGUGAUUUACCACAGACGUUGCUGAUAUUAGGACAGGCCAUUGGUGCGCUGGUUCUACCGUUUUUCUCAGAUCAUUAUGGACGAAAGCCCACCAAUAUUAUCAGCCAUGUUGGUAUGAUGGUGA